UUUCCUCCGUUUCUCACCCGACGCCAUCCCCGUUUCUUCCUCUUCUUCCCUUCUCUCGCGCCGUCUUCUUCUCCUUUUCAUCUCUCCCCAAAUCCGUCGACGCCUCGCCUUCUCCCCGCAUACAAGACCCUUCGGCCAAGGAAGCCCCGAGCCGCCUCCCGAUCCUUCCUCUUCCUCUUCACCUUUGCUCCUGCGACACUGCCGAGCCUUUUCCCCUUUCUUCACUAGUCCGUGUGCCCUAGUUCUCCUCGUGCCGACGCCCUCUCCGCCGAACGCUGAAGGCCACAACCGAUGCCCUAGGUGUUGUCCUCUUCCUCUACAGCGCACCGCCGCCGCACGAAACAAUGCUGGCCGCCUCCAUGCCGUGCCCUAGUUCCCGACACUGAUUUCUUCUUCUCAGCCGAGGUUGUGUCACUACUGUCCACUGCGGACACACCCACCUGACACCGUCGGUAGCCACUCUCUUUCCCUCUGCCCUAGCGCCGACAAUCGACCUCACCUGUGCCCUAGAUCUGUCUUCUGCCGCCGCUAUGAGGCAUGCGCCGACCAUCACCAGAGCCACCGAGUCUUCCAUUCUCUCCGUUCGACGCACUCCGAUCUAUCCACUCCUUUCACUAGAUUUGAAGCGUAGCCACUAGGUUUUUCUCCGCCCAUAGGAGGUUACGAUCCAAUCUACAGAACUAGAAUCCUAUUGAAUUUUGUCCAGCAAGUAUUGAUUUAUGGUAUUUGGUAUAAGGGCAGAAGCUACACCUAACUUCACUUCGGUUGUAACCUCUAGCAGCACCUUCUUCGAGUUAGCAAGGGUGCCUCUUAUUUGGGGUAAGUCAUUAGCAUAAAGGUUAUGGAUUAAAGGUUAGGGUUUAAAUUCUCAGAAGUAUGUAUAUUGAUUUCGACUUGUAGGUCAGUGGCUUUAUCCAAUUUUUGGUCACACUAACCUCAAGUCAACAGUGGAGAAUCUAGAAUUUGGGUGAGUUUUUGGAUUGAGGUUGAUGCUGUCAGGAGGUUCCAGUCGCUAGUUCCCACUUCGCGUCGCGUCGGUUUUCUACUCUUUAGUCUUUUGGUUCCUUGUUACAUUUCAUAUAUAUGUGUGUGAUUUGUAUGUUUGUACUCGAGGAGUUUUAUUGAGUUUUUGGUCUAUUACACUUCUUUUUCCGCUGUGUUGGUUUCUUUGUCGUGGUUAUAAGGUUUCCGUCAUUGUAGUAGAGUUGGUGGUUUUUAAAUAUAAACUGCGUGGUUGUGUC